GGAUAUAGUUUAAGUGGUAGAGCGCAUGCUUAGCAUGCAUAGGGUUCUGGGUUCAAUCCCCAGUACCA
rnacentral:tRNA from 1 species